AUUGAACGCUGGCGGAAUGCUUUACACAUGCAAGUCGAACGGCAGCACGGGGCAACCUGGUGGCGAGUGGCGAACGGGUGAGUAAUACAUCGGAACGUGCCCAAUCGUGGGGGAUAACGUAGCGAAAGUUACGCUAAUACCGCAUACGAUCUACGGAUGAAAGCGGGGGAUCGCAAGACCUCGCGCGAAUGGAGCGGCCGAUGUCAGAUUAGGUAGUUGGUGGGGUAAAGGCUCACCAAGCCAACGAUCUGUAGCUGGUCUGAGAGGACGACCAGCCACACUGGAACUGAGACACGGUCCAGACUCCUACGGGAGGCAGCAGUGGGGAAUUUUGGACAAUGGGCGCAAGCCUGAUCCAGCCAUUCCGCGUG
rnacentral:rRNA from 1 species